rnacentral:rRNA from 1 species
CCUACGGGGGGCAGCAGUGAGGAAUAUUGGUCAAUGGCCGGAAGGCUGAACCAGCCAUGCCGCGUGAAGGUCAGUGCCCUAUGGUCGUUUAACUUCUUUUGUGCGGGAGCAAUAAUGGUCACGUUUGGCCAGACGAGAGUACCGUACGAAUAAGCAUCCGCUACCUCCGUGCCAGUAGCCGCGGUAAUACGGGGGAUGCAAGCGUUAUCCGGAUUUAUUGGGUUUAAAGGGAGCGUAGAUGGGUUGUUAAGUCAGUUGUGAAAGUUUGGGGCUCAACCGUAAAAUUGCAAUGGAUACUGGCAGCCUUGAGUACAGUUGAGGUAGGCGGAAUUCGUGGUGUAGCGGUGAAAUGCUUAGAUAUCACGAAGAACUCCGAUUGCGAAGGCAGCCUACUAAACUGCCACUGACAUUGAUGCUCGAAAGUGUGGGUAUCAAACAGGAUUAGAUACCCCAGUAGUC